AGAUGAAGACUUUCCCCUGAAGGUUAUUUCUAAUGGCCCUCAAAAUAGGCUGAAUGAAAAGAGGUGUGAUCGAUGAAAACUGGCCGCUCCUUCUUUGCAACUCCUUCCAUUAGGUGGUGGAGUCUACGUUGCCCUCCCUUUGAUCCAGGCUGGCCACACAAAUUACUUUCACCAACAGAAUGCUGUAGAAGUGAUACUGCAUGACCUCUGAGCCCAGGCCUUAAGGGACUUUGCAGCUUCUGUUCUUGGCCUCUGGCUGCUCUGUGACUACCAUGGAAGGAGUUCCACACUAACCUCCUGUAGGGUAAGAGACACGUGGAGGCAGACUGAGCCUCCCAGCCAUCCCACUGAGGCUCCAGGCGUGCCAGUGAUGUACCUGGCUGAAGCCUGGCCCCCAGUCACCCACUGACGGCAGCUGCAAAGGUGCCCGUGAUGAGAAUAAGAUAUCACUGGCCAGGGACCACUUCUCUGAA
rnacentral:lncRNA from 10 species